AUUGAACGCUGGCGGCAUGCUUUACACAUGCAAGUCGAGCGGCAGCGCGGGCUUCGGCCUGGCGGCGAGUGGCGAACGGGUGAGUAAUAUAUCGGAACGUACCCAGGAGUGGGGGAUAACGUAGCGAAAGUUACGCUAAUACCGCAUACGUCCUAAGGGAGAAAGCGGGGGAUCGCAAGACCUCGUGCUCAUGGAGCGGCCGAUAUCUGAUUAGCUAGGUGGUGGGGUAAAGGCUCACCAAGGCAACGAUCAGUAGCUGGUCUGAGAGGACGACCAGCCACACUGGAACUGAGACACGGUCCAGACUCCUACGGGAGGCAGCAGUGGGGAAUUUUGGACAAUGGGGGCAACCCUGAUCCAGCAAUGCCGCGUGAGUGAAGAAGGCCUUCGGGUUGUAAAGCUCUUUUGUCAGGGAAGAAACGACUCCUUCUAAUACAGGGGGUUAAUGACGGUACCUGAAGAAUAAGCACCGGCUAACUACGUGCCAGCCGCCGCCGUAAGAC
rnacentral:rRNA from 1 species